CAGCGGCAUGGAUCUUGCCAUGACAAAAUCACGAGUUCUGCCUGCGUCAUCAUGUGACACGAUACAUGAUCAUGUGAUGGAUAUGUAACGUGACGUCGCUCGUCACAUUCGUGCGGCCCAUUUCUUGUGAGAGUUCAAAAUUAAAGUGCAU